rnacentral:rRNA from 1 species
UAGGAAUUUUGCGCAAUGGACGAAAGUCUGACGCAGCAAUGCCGCGUGAAGGAUGAAGGCCCUCGGGUUGUAAACUUCUUUUAGUUGGAGCGAAAUAAAUGACGGUACCAACAGAAAAAGCACCGGCUAACCCUGUGCCAGCAGCCGCGGUAAUACAGGGGGUGCAAGCGUUACUCGGAAUCAUUGGGCGUAAAGAGCGUGUAGGCUGUCUAUUAAGUUUGGUGUGAAAGCCCUGGGCCCAAUCCAGGAAGCGCAUUGAAUACUGAUAGACUAGAGUAUGGGAGGGGUUAGUGGAAUUCCUGGUGUAGAGGUGAAAUUCGUAGAUAUCAGGAGGAACAACAGUGGCGAAGGCGACUAACUGGACCAUUACUGACGCUAAGGCGCGAAAGCGUGGGGAGCAAAC